ensembl:snRNA U6 U6 spliceosomal RNA
GUGCUCACUUCAGCAGCACAUAUACUAAAAUUGGAAUGAUGCAGAGAAGAUUAGCAUGGCCCCUGCGCAAGG